UGGGGAAUAUUGCACAAUGGAUGGAACUCUGAUGCAGCGACGCCGCGUGAACGAAGAAGGCUUUCGAGUCGUAAAGUUCUUUUAUAUGGGAAGAUAAUGACGGUACCAUAAGAAAAAGCCCCGGCUAACUACGUGCCAGCAGCCGCGGUAAUACGUAGGGGGCUAGCGUUGUCCGGAAUCACUGGGCGUAAAGGGUUCGCAGGCGGAAAUGCAAGUCAGGUGUAAAAGGCAGUAGCUUAACUACUGUAAGCAUUUGAAACUGCAUAUCUUGAGAAGAGUAGAGGUAAGUGGAAUUUUUAGUGUAGCGGUGAAAUGCGUAGAUAUUAAAAAGAAUACCGGUGGCGAAGGCGACUUACUGGGCUCAUUCUGACGCUGAGGAACGAAAGCGUGGGUAGCAAACAGG
rnacentral:rRNA from 2 species